AUUGAACGCUGGCGGCAGGCUUUACACAUGCAAGUCGGACGAGUGGCGGACGGGUGAGUAAUGCUUGGGAAUCUAGCUUAUAGAGGGGGAUAACUACGGGAAAGGGUAGCUAAUACCGCGUACCAUAGGAUGAGCCCAAGUGGGAUUAGGUAGUUGGUGGGGUAAAGGCACACCAAGACGACGAUCUGUAGCGGGUCUGAGAGGAUGACCGGCCACACUGGGACUGAGACACGGCCCAGACUCCUACGGGAGGCAGCAGUGGGGAAUUUUGCGCAAUGGGGGCAAGCCUGACGCAGCCAUGCCGCGUGACUGAAGAAGGCCUUAGGGUUGUAAAGUACUUUCAUCAGGGAAGCGUUACCCGAAGAAGAAGCACCGGCUAACUCCGUGCCAGCAGCCGCGGUAAUUC
rnacentral:rRNA from 1 species